rnacentral:rRNA from 1 species
AUUGAACGCUGGCGGCAUGCCUUACACAUGCUAGUCGAACGGUAACAGGUCUUCGGAUGCUGACGAGUGGCGAACGGGUGAGUAAUGCAUCGGAACGUGCCCAGUAGUGGGGGAUAGCCCGGCGAAAGCCGGAUUAAUACCGCAUACGACCUGAGGGUGAAAGGGGGGGAUAGCAAGACCUCUCGCUAUUGGAACGGCCGAUGUCAGAUUAGCUAGUUGGUGGGGUAAAGGCCUACCAAGGCAACGAUCUGUAGUUGGUCUGAGAGGACGACCAGCCACACUGGGACUGAGACACGGCCCAGACUCCUACGGGAGGCAGCAGUGGGGAAUUUUGGACAAUGGGCGCAAGCCUGAUCCAGCAAUGCCGCGUGCAGGAAGAAGGCCUUCGGGUUGUAAACUGCUUUUGUCAGGGAAGAAAUCUUCUGGGUUAAUACCUCGGGAGGAUGACGGUACCUGAAGAAUAAGCACCGGCUAACUACGUGCCAGCAGCCGCAGUAAAAC